UUGACUAACACUUAACUCGGGGAUAGAGAUCCUAAUUGCGCCGCACCUAAUCACAUAAAUAUAAUUACUUCAAUAUGGGCCUAACUAAAACUUUAACUAAAAAUUAUACAGACAAAACUAUAUAUAUUCAUAUAUAUAUAUAUAUAUAUGUAUAUAUUCUAAAAAAAUAUGGAAUCAUUGACAAAAAUAAACAUAAAUAUAGUUAGACUAGGAAUCUGUAAACCUUUGUAAAUCAAAUAAAAUAUUUAUACAAAAUUUGCGACAACCAGUUACCCAAAUCAAAUAAGUAUAACUGAUUCAAUUACUUGAUCCAUCCAAACUUACGUAUACUAACUGAACUCUGGCCUCAUAAUGACUCUAACUUUGUGAAAAUCUAACAACUAAUUUAAAAUCUCUUUUAACAAACAAAACCCGUAGGCCACUAUGUGAAAAUAAGUUAUGCUCAUCUGGAGACUAAUAGCUAGAUUUUUGAAAUAAUAAUAUUAAUAUAAAAUUCAAAACAAAGAAUUUCAAACCAACAUCAACGCCAUACAUAAAUUUUCUCCAAGCUUUAUUGAAAUUAAAAUUAUUUGUGACAUCAUUGUCUCCCAAAUUCGCAUUUUACCAAACAAAAACUAGUUUUAGAAGGUUUCAUAGAAUAACAAUAUAAUAGUAAUAAUUAUCUUCGUAUUAAUAACUAGUCUAAACUUACUGUAUGAAAGCAAAACAACCCAAUACUAAUCAAAUAACGUCUUUCUUGACAAUUGAAGAUUAAAAGAAUUUGAAGAAUCGUAAGUAUUCAACCUAAUCAGAAAACUAAUUCCGAAUCAUACUAAAUUUGAGAAAAACUCACAAAUCAAAUAAAGUUAGAAUUUAAUCUUACAAGAAUUCUUGAUUUCUUGGCAGCAACUAAAACUUGAAUACUUGAAGAACUUUAACAAAGAAGGUUUUUCAGAGUUUUUUGAAUGGUUGUGAAACGAAAGGAGAAAAUAGCAGAAUAUAAAGUUGGAGAAUGAGAAUUUUCAGAUGAUCAGUUUGUGAAAACCGUCUGUGCAAGUCUUCAGAAAAGAAGAGGGAAAAGCGGAACGG
rnacentral:lncRNA from 1 species